rnacentral:rRNA from 1 species
AUUGAACGCUGGCGGCAGGCCUAACACAUGCAAGUCGAGCGGUAGCACAGAGAGCUUGCUCUCGGGUGACGAGCGGCGGACGGGUGAGUAAUGUCUGGGAAACUGCCUGAUGGAGGGGGAUAACUACUGGAAACGGUAGCUAAUACCGCAUAACGUCGCAAGACCAAAGUGGGGGACCUUCGGGCCUCAUGCCAUCAGAUGUGCCCAGAUGGGAUUAGCUAGUAGGUGGGGUAAUGGCUCACCUAGGCGACGAUCCCUAGCUGGUCUGAGAGGAUGACCAGCCACACUGGAACUGAGACACGGUCCAGACUCCUACGGGAGGCAGCAGUGGGGAAUAUUGCACAAUGGGCGCAAGCCUGAUGCAGCCAUGCCGCGUGUGUGAAGAAGGCCUUCGGGUUGUAAAGCACUUUCAGCGGGGAGGAAGGCGGUGAGGUUAAUAACCUCAUCGAUUGACGUUACCCGCAGAAGAAGCACCGGCUAACUCCGUGCCAGCAGCCGCGGUAAUACGGAGGGUGCAAGCGUUAAUCGGAAUUACUGGGCGUAAAGCGCACGCAGGCGGUCUGUCAAGUCGGAUGUGAAAUCCCCGGGCUCAACCUGGGAACUGCAUUCGAAACUGGCAGGCUAGAGUCUUGUAGAGGGGGGUAGAAUUCCAGGUGUAGCGGUGAAAUGCGUAGAGAUCUGGAGGAAUACCGGUGGCGAAGGCGGCCCCCUGGACAAAGACUGACGCUCAGGUGCGAAAGCGUGGGGAGCAAACAGGAUUAGACACCCUGGUAGUCCACGCCGUAAACGAUGUCGAUUUGGAGGUUGUGCCCUUGAGGCGUGGCUUCCGGAGCUAACGCGUUAAAUCGACCGCCUGGGGAGUACGGCCGCAAGGUUAAAACUCAAAUGAAUUGACGGGGGCCCGCACAAGCGGUGGAGCAUGUGGUUUAAUUCGAUGCAACGCGAAGAACCUUACCUGGUCUUGACAUCCACAGAACUUUCCAGAGAUGGAUUGGUGCCUUCGGGAACUGUGAGACAGGUGCUGCAUGGCUGUCGUCAGCUCGUGUUGUGAAAUGUUGGGUUAAGUCCCGCAACGAGCGCAACCCUUAUCCUUUGUUGCCAGCGGUCCGGCCGGGAACUCAAAGGAGACUGCCAGUGAUAAACUGGAGGAAGGUGGGGAUGACGUCAAGUCAUCAUGGCCCUUACGACCAGGGCUACACACGUGCUACAAUGGUAUAUACAAAGAGAAGCGACCUCGCGAGAGCAAGCGGACCUCAUAAAGUAUGUCGUAGUCCGGAUUGGAGUCUGCAACUCGACUCCAUGAAGUCGGAAUCGCUAGUAAUCGUAGAUCAGAAUGCUACGGUGAAUACGUUCCCGGGCCU